CUACGCCUGCGACGCAGGUGAGGGCACGAGGAUAAACUGAGCCAACACUCGGAAACUGGGAGUCCACGUCGCCCGCCGGUGUGCAUGUCGCGAUCCUGCGGGAUCGCGAAAGCCUAAAGGCGGUCGCAGGACACCCACCUGGACCAUGGGUUCAGGCGUAUCGAGUGCCCCACGGCGCCGGCGGACGUAGU
rfam:Acidobacteria bacterium RIFCSPHIGHO2_02_FTLL_67_57 rifcsphigho2_02_scaffold_29058, whole genome shotgun sequence.